rnacentral:rRNA from 1 species
UACGUAGGGGGCAAGCGUUGUCCGGAAUCAUUGGGCGUAAAGCGCGCGUAGGCGGUCAGGUAAGUCCGGUGUGAAAGUCAUAGGCUCAACCUAUGGAUGCCGCUGGAAACUGCCUGACUUGAGUCCGGGAGGGGCGAGUGGAAUUCCUGGUGUAGCGGUGAAAUGCGCAGAUAUCAGGAGGAACACCAAUGGCGAAGGCAGCUCGCUGGAACGGUACUGACGCUGAGGCGCGAAAGCGUGGGGAGCGAACAGG